CUAUCCAGCGAGGGCUCCGCGAGGACUGCUGCGGGCAGAGCCGGCCGAACCUCGGAGAAGGGCAGGAGUUGUCCUGCCCACGCUCCGCACAGCCUGUUCCCUAACUCCCGAGGCGCAGACCGUCUUCACCGCGGGCUUCAGCCCCAACCAGUUAAACCGGCCCGGAGGCCGGCCCAGCAGCCGCGGGGUGGGGCUCAUCCAGGGCUGGGUGGGGAGUCUGGCUUGGGGUGGGGACUUUUGCUGGGGAUUUGGACAAAGGAAGCGCCCCGGGCUUCCAAAGAGGAACCUCCUAGGAUUUCGUGUCGGCCUUUGCCUCAGCGUUCCUUAAACGGGGGCCGACGAGCGCCUCCCUCGAUCCUUGCACCGAGGAGCUCUUGAGUCAGAGCUGCCCUUCGCUCGGCAGGCGUGCACACAGAACUGGAUCUGAAGGAAGAUAGAAGUAACUGCAUUUCCUCCAGAAACCCUUCACAAAGGCUUCAGGAAUUGUCCUGCAAAUGUUCUUGUCUUAUAAAGUUUGACAGUUGACUUGGGAGAUGUCUCCUCUCCAUCGAAUUCUCCAAGGAAGAAUGUUGGAGUGGGUUGUCAUUCCUUUCCAGGGGAUAUUCCCGACCCGGGGAUCCGACCCCGGUCUCCCGCAUUGCAGGCAGAUUCUUUACCAUCUGUGCCACCGGGGAAGCCCCUAGAUUGGGGAUAGAUGGCCUUUCCCAGUCACCUCCAUUACUGCCUGUGCUCCUCUUCCUACAACUUCAUUACAUGUUUAGACUGACCUCUGUGAUCCACCCUACCCUGUUCCAAAUCAGCCCGCCUCAAGUCUGAUGGUAGAUCUCUCCCUUGUACCUUGCAUUUCCCACUCGAAAGUUGAGCCCUCUUGGCUUGAUACCCAGGAAGGGCCCACAACAGACCAAGAUGGUCUGCUGUAGCCAUUGUAUUCUGACUUUUUGAAAAGCUUUCUUAUUGCCCGUCUGGCAACAGAACGGUGUCCUCUGUCCACUGGGAUGGGCAUGUUAUCUUGCCAAUUACAGUACUCUGGCAACUUUGAUUGGGUCACGGAAUGGGCACUGACCACGUUGGCUAUUGAACCCUUGUUGGAAGUUGCUAUAUGGACACACAAAAGGGAGGAAAGAUAGCAUCUUAUUGAUGGUCAUGUUAUUCACAAAUAGGCCUUUCUCAACUUCACUGGUAGUCCAGUGGUUAAGAACCUACCUGCUAAUGCAGGGGACACAUUUUAAAUCCCUGGUUGGGAAAGAUCCCACAUGCCUCGGCAACCCCAUGCACCAGAACUACACCCCUAUGCCUAGAGCCUGUGCUUCACAGCAACAAGAGAAAACAAUGCAAUGAGAAGCCUGUGGACCUCACGGAAGACUAGUCACUUGCUGCAACUAGAGGAAGCACACACAUAGCAACAAAGACCCAGCACGGCCAUAAUAGUCACGUAUGGAUGUGAGAGUCAGACUAUAAAGAAAGCUGAGCACCAAAGAACUGAUGCUUUUGAACUGUGGUGUUGGAGAAGACUCUCGAGAGUCCCUUGGACUGCAAGGAGAUCCAACCAGUCCAUCCUAAAGGAGAUCAGUUCUGAGUGUUCAUUGGAAGGACUGAUGUUGAAGCUGAAACUCCAAUACUUCGGCCACCUGAUGCGAAGAGCUGACUGAUUGGAAAAGACCCUGAUGCUGGGAAAGAUUGAAGGUGGGAGGAGAAGGGGAAGACAGAGGAUGAGAUGGUUGGAUGGCAUCACUGACUCAAUGGAUAUGAGUUUGAACUCCGGGAGAUGGUGAUAGGUAAGGAAGCCUGGAGUGCUGCAGUCCAUGGGGUUGCAAAGAGUUGAACACAACUGAGUGACUGAACUGAACUGAACAAAAUAAGCGUCAGAACUGUAUGAGUUCAGUUGUGCUCUUUGCAGCAAUUUGCCCCACAAUUUAAUGGCUUUAAAGUUUUCAGCUCUUGCGACUGUAGUCAGCUGAUGUGUUAAGUGGAGGUGGGCUCACUUGGAGCAGCUGCAAUGGCUAAGCCUCUCUUACAGGCUCUUGGCUUCCCACGGAGGCUGCAUUCUCAGGGCACAAGCACUUUUCAAAUGUUUGCAUAUUGUCUAUUAAUGGGAUACUGGCCAAAGCAAGUCACAUGCCAAGUCCCAGACUCAAGGGAUGGAGAAUAGAUUCCGCCCCCAGAUGGGAGACAAUGGAAAGAAUUUGUGCCAUUUAUUUGCAAACUAUGACAAGAACUCUCGAAUCUUCUUGGCUCCUAAGGAAUGAUUUUAUAUCCUCCAAGAAUCUGUGAUAAGUCAGUGUGAUUGACACCUUUGCUAAACCAGCUGCCUCUCAGGUUUGGCUAACACUGUGGAAGUAAGUACAAGAGCAAAAAUUAAGCAUGUUCACCAUUCUACUCAUGACUGGUAGAGUGCCUGGCACAUAAUAGAUGCUUAAUAAAUUUUUGUGCAAUGA